AUUGAACGCUGGCGGCAGGCCUAACACAUGCAAGUCGAGCGGAGCGGCGGACGGGUGAGUAAUGCCUAGGAAUCUGCCUGGUAGUGGGGGAUAAGGUCCGGAAACGGGCGCUAAUACCGCAUACUAUCAGAUGAGCCUAGUGCGGAUUAGCUAGUUGGUGGGGUAAAGGCCUACCAAGGCGACGAUCCGUAACUGGUCGGAUGGGAUGAUCAGCCACACUGGAACUGAGACACGGUCCAGACUCCUACGGGAGGCAGCAGUGGGGAAUAUUGGACAAUGGGCGACAGCCUGAUCCAGCCAUGCCGCGUGUGUGAAGAAGGUCUUCGGAUUGUAAAGCACUUUAAGUUGGGAGGCGUUACCAACAGAAUAAGCACCGGCUAACUUCGUGCCAGCAGCCGCGGUGAUUC
rnacentral:rRNA from 1 species